rnacentral:lncRNA from 1 species
AAGCGGUUCAUGAGCCAAGACAUGAGAGGGGUCCGGGUUGUACUUACGUAGCAUGGAUACGUGGAACACAUUGUGGACCUUGGAGAGCUCUAGAGGCAGUGCUAGUCUGUAGGCAGCAGUACUAAUCCUGUCUAAGAUUUCAAAAGGUCCAAUAAAUCGGGGGUUCAAUUUUUCCCUCCUACCGAACCUACUAAUUUCCUUGAAAGGAGUGACCUUAAGGAACACCCGGUCGCCUUUCUCAAAUGCU